rnacentral:rRNA from 1 species
AUGCUGCUAGCGGAGGGCGCAUGUCUUCAUCAUCGUCGAACUGCAUCACGAGUGAUGGAGAGAGGUGUGUUGCCAGGUAAGUUGCGGCACCGGUGGCAAGGUGGUGAUGUCCAUGAAGCGGAGGUCGUCGCCACAAGGAGUUUCAUGUCCGAGUCGUCGACAAGGUGCGUCAUCGUCGACAACAUGGAGGCGAGUCACCGACGAGUUGUGGCACCAGCGAUGAACAUGGAGGUGAGUCACAGGCAAGUUGCAUCAUCAGCGACGAAUGUGGAGGCGAGUCAUCGGCAAGUUGCGGCACCGGUGGAAAACCUGUGGCUGCGGUGCGAUGCCGCAAGAGAAGACGGCGGUGGCGCGAUGCGACGGCAGUGGUGCAAUGCCAUCGUCAUCAUGGAGAGAUGGAGUGGUGGCGCUGUGAAGGCAUCAUCCAUGACGUGGUGA